CCUACGGGAGGCAGCAGUAGGGAAUCUUCCACAAUGGACGAAAGUCUGAUGGAGCAACGCCGCGUGAGCGAUGAAGGCCUUCGGGUCGUAAAGCUCUGUUGUUAGGGAAGAACAAGUACCGGAGUAACUGCCGGUACCUUGACGGUACCUAACCAGAAAGCCACGGCUAACUACGUGCCAGCAGCCGCGGUAAUACGUAGGUGGCAAGCGUUGUCCGGAAUUAUUGGGCGUAAAGCGCGCGCAGGCGGUUCCUUAAGUCUGAUGUGAAAGCCCCCGGCUCAACCGGGGAGGGUCAUUGGAAACUGGGAAACUUGAGUGCAGAAGAGGAAAGUGGAAUUCCAAGUGUAGCGGUGAAAUGCGUAGAGAUUUGGAGGAACACCAGUGGCGAAGGCGGCUCUCUGGUCUGUAACUGACGCUGAGGCGCGAAAGCGUGGGGAGCGAACAGGAUUAGAUACCCUGGUAGUCCACGCCGUAAACGAUGAGUGCUAAGUGUUAGAGGGUUUCCGCCCCUUUAGUGCUGCAGCAAACGCAUUAAAGCACUCCGCCUGGGGAGUACGGCCGCAAGGCUGAAACUCAAAGGAAUUGACGG
rnacentral:rRNA from 1 species